AGGUGCUGGGUAGAUCAUGGCCGUCACUCCAGCUGCCCCGUGCACAUCUCAGGCACUCCCAGAUGGCAUCUAGGAGCUCUAAUCCAGCUGUAGGAUGGGAGCGUUCUGAGGGAUCAGAGACCUAUGCACAAUCCCCCAACACAGCUGCCUAGACACAAGUCCAAAGGGACAUAAAAUAGGAACCUCAGAGGAAUCCGAAUAAACAAGCCACCAGCCAAGCUUCCUGCCCUUGGAGAUGUCUCACUUUCAUCUUCAAAGACUCAUGUCUCCAAGACAGGACAGAAAUCAUUUCUUUGGACUCCCCCUGCAUCUCUAGGAUGACAAAACCUCUUUGGAGUGGCCCUCUCCUGACAUCUGUGUGAUUUGGGUGGUCGUUCCCCAUGGUGUGGACACCCUAUCUUUGAUAAGACGCUUGUGAUGAUCAA